AGCGAACGCUGGCGGCAGGCCUAACGCAUGCAAGUCGAACGAACUCUUCGGAGUUAGUGGCGGACGGGUGAGUAACACGUGGGAACGUGCCUUUUGGUUCGGAAUAACUCAGGGAAACUUGUGCUAAUACCGAAUGUGCCCUACUGGGGCAAGAUUUAUCGCCAUGAGAGCGGCCCGCGUCUGAUUAGCUAGUUGGUGAGGUAACGGCUCACCAAGGCGACGAUCAGUAGCUGGUCUGAGAGGAUGACCCGCCACACUGGGACUGAGACACGGCCCAGACUCCUACGGGAGGCAGCAGUGGGGAAUCUUGCGCAAUGGGCGAAAGCCUGACGCAGCCAUGCCGCGUGAAUGAUGAAGGUCUUAGGAUUGUAAAAUUCUUUCACCGGGGACGAUAAUGACGGUACCCGGAGAAGAAGCCCCGGCUAACUUCGUG
rnacentral:rRNA from 1 species